AGGAUUAACGCUGGCGGCGUGCCUAACACAUGCAAGUCGAACGAGGUAGCAAUACCUAGUGGCAGACGGGUGAGUAACGCGUGGUCAACCUACCGUUGAGCGGGGGAUAACUAGCCGAAAGGUUAGCUAAUACCGCAUACGUCUAGCACGGCAUCGUGCAAAGAUAAAAGCCGCAAGGCACUCGAUGACGGGACCGCGUCCCAUUAGUUAGUUGGUGGGGUAAUGGCCUACCAAGACUCCGAUGGGUAGCUGGUUUGAGAGAGCGACCAGCCACACUGGGACUGAGAAACGGCCCAGACUCCUACGGGAGGCAGCAGUGAGGAAUUUUCCGCAAUGGGCGAAAGCCUGACGGAGCGACGCCGCGUGUGGGAAGAAGGCCUUCGGGUCGUAAACCACUGUCGAAGGGGACGAUAUUGACGGUACCCUUGGAGGAAGCCCCGGCUAACUACGCGCCAGCAGCCGC
rnacentral:rRNA from 1 species